rnacentral:ribozyme from 12 species
AUAUAAGAAAGAGUAAGUAGUAAAAAAAGAGAAAAUGUCAUCAUGGUUGACUUAAUUGGAAGUAUCGUUCGUUUUAUU